UACAGAGGUCCCAAGCGUUGUUCGGAUUCACUGGGCGUAAAGGGUGCGCAGGUGGGUUGGCAAGUUCGAUGUGAAAGCCCCGGGCUUAACCCGGGAAUGGCAUUGGAUACUGCUGAUCUGGAGGAUCGGAGGGGGGACUGGAAUUCUUGGUGUAGCAGUGAAAUGCGUAGAUAUCAAGAGGAACACCAGUGGCGAAGGCGAGUCCCUGGACGAUACCUGACGCUGAGGCACGAAAGCUAGGGGAGCAAACAGG
rnacentral:rRNA from 1 species